GCCUUCAUAGUUAAAUGGUAUAACGCAGCAAUGGUAAUGCUGAAUUCCAAGUUCGAUUCUCGGUGGAGGCACCA
rnacentral:tRNA from 1 species